UACGAAGGGGGCUAGCGUUGCUCGGAAUCACUGGGCGUAAAGCGCACGUAGGCGGAUUGUUAAGUCAGGGGUGAAAUCCUGGAGCUCAACUCCAGAACUGCCUUUGAUACUGGCGUGCUUGAGGACUGGAGAGGAGACUGGAAUUCAUGGUGUAGCAGUGAAAUGCGUAGAGAUCAUGAGGAAGACCAGUGGCGAAGGCGGGUCUCUGGACAGUUCCUGACACUGAGGCACGAAGGCCAGGGGAGCAAACGGG
rnacentral:rRNA from 1 species